CUUGGAAGGAAGAACCUUCCCGAUAUAAACUGAUGAUAAACCAUUAACCUACGCAUUACUAUCCAAAGCAGAUAAAUAUUCCCCAAGAGACAUUAGACACCUUGAUUAUAUUUCAUAGUUUACUGUGGCUAUAUGUCAUAAGAAGGGUGCUGAACAUUUUGUUACUAUUUUAACCGGAAA